GGCCAGGUAGCUCAGUUGGUACGAGCGUCCGCCUGAAAAGCGGAAGGUCGCCGGUUCGAUCCCGGCCCUGGCCAC
rnacentral:tRNA from 47 species